AACGUAGGUGGCAAGCGUUAUCCGGAAUUACUGGGCGUAAAGGGCGCGUAGGCGGGUACUUAAGUUGGGGGUGAAAGCCCGGGGCUCAACCUCGGAAUUGCCUUCAAUACUGGGUAUCUUGAGUACGGGAGAGGUGAGUGGAACUCCGAGUGUAGAGGUGAAAUUCGUAGAUAUUCGGAAGAACACCAGUGGCGAAGGCGACUCACUGGCCCGUUACUGACGCUGAGGCGCGAAAGCGUGGGGAGCAAACAGG
rnacentral:rRNA from 1 species